AAGGGUUCAAACCUUCAUCUCCGGUCCCCAAAACCGGAAUCUUCCAAUUAAACUAC
rnacentral:tRNA from 1 species